UCGGAUAUGGUGUAAUGGUUAACAUUACCGCCUCUCAUACUUCAUGGUUCGCGGUAGCUCGGGGUUCGAUUCCCCGUAUCCGAA